UCCGGCGUAGGGUAAUUGGCAGCCCACCAGACUUUGACUCUGGGUUUGUGCUGGUUCGAGUCCAGCCGCCGGAA
rnacentral:tRNA from 1 species